GUGUCAGCAGCCGCGGUAAUACGGGGGGGGCAAGCGUUGUUCGGAAUUACUGGGCGUAAAGGGCUCGUAGGCGGCCAUCUUAGUCAGACGUGAAAUCCCUCGGCUCAACCGGGGAACUGCGUCUGAUACUGGAUGGCUCGAAUCCGGGAGAGGGAUGCGGAAUUCCAGGUGUAGCGGUGAAAUGCGUAGAUAUCUGGAGGAACACCGGUGGCGAAGGCGGCAUCCUGGACCGGUAUUGACGCUGAGGAGCGAAAGCCAGGGGAGCAAACGGGAUUAGAAACCCGGGUAGUCC
rnacentral:rRNA from 1 species